UUAGAGUUUGAUCCUGGCUCAAGAUGAACUCUGGCGGCGCGCCUAACACAUGCAAGUCGAACGAGUGAGAGAGAGCUUGCUUUCUCAAGCGAGUGGCGAACGGGUGAGUAACGCGUGAGGAACCUGCCUCAAAGAGGGGGACAACAGUUGGAAACGACUGCUAAUACCGCAUAAGCCCACGGGUCGGCAUCGACCAGAGGGAAAAGGAGCAAUCCGCUUUGAGAUGGCCUCGCGUCCGAUUAGCUAGUUGGAGAGGUAACGGCCCACCAAGGCAACGAUCGGUAGCCGGACUGAGAGGUUGAACGGCCACAUUGGGACUGAGACACGGCCCAGACUCCUCCGGGAGGCAGCAGUGGGGAAUAUUGCACAAUGGGGGAAACCCUGAUGCAGCGACGCCGCGUGGAGGAAGAAGGUCUUCGGAUUGUAAACUCCUGUUGUUGAGGAAGAUAAUGACGGUACUCAACAAGGAAGUGACGGCUAACUACGUGCCAGCAGCCGCGGUAAAACGUAGGUCACAAGCGUUGUCCGGAAUUACUGGGUGUAAAGGGAGCGCAGGCGGGAAGACAAGUUGGAAGUGAAAUCUAUGGGCUCAACCCAUAAACUGCUUUCAAAACUGUUUUUCUUGAGUAGUGCAGAGGUAGGCGGAAUUCCCGGUGUAGCGGUGGAAUGCGUAGAUAUCGGGAGGAACACCAGUGGCGAAGGCGGCCUACUGGGCACCAACUGACGCUGAGGCUCGAAAGUGUGGGUAGCAAACAGGAUUAGAUACCCUGGUAGUCCACACCGUAAACGAUGAUUACUAGGUGUUGGAGGAUUGACCCCUUCAGUGCCGCAGUUAACACAAUAAGUAAUCCACCUGGGGAGUACGACCGCAAGGUUGAAACUCAAAGGAAUUGACGGGGGCCCGCACAAGCAGUGGAGUAUGUGGUUUAAUUCGACGCAACGCGAAGAACCUUACCAAGUCUUGACAUCCCUUGACGAACAUAGAGAUAUGUUUUCUCUUCGGAGCAAGGAGACAGGUGGUGCAUGGUUGUCGUCAGCUCGUGUCGUGAGAUGUUGGGUUAAGUCCCGCAACGAGCGCAACCCUUACUGUCAGUUACUACGCAAGAGGACUCUGGCAGGACUGCCGUUGACAAAACGGAGGAAGGUGGGGAUGACGUCAAAUCAUCAUGCCCUUUAUGACUUGGGCUACACACGUACUACAAUGGCGUUAAACAAAGAGAAGCAAGACCGCGAGGUGGAGCAAAACUCAGAAACAACGUCCCAGUUCGGACUGCAGGCUGCAACUCGCCUGCACGAAGUCGGAAUUGCUAGUAAUCGUGGAUCAGCAUGCCACGGUGAAUACGUUCCCGGGCCUUGUAC
rnacentral:rRNA from 1 species